rnacentral:rRNA from 1 species
UAUGAAUAAGGAUCGGCUAACUCCGUGCCAGCAGCCGCGGUAAUACGGAGGAUCCGAGCGUUAUCCGGAUUUAUUGGGUUUAAAGGGAGCGUAGGUGGAUUGUUAAGUCAGUUGUGAAAGUUUGCGGCUCAACCGUAAAAUUGCAGUUGAAACUGGCAGUCUUGAGUACAGUAGAGGUGGGCGGAAUUCGUGGUGUAGCGGUGAAAUGCUUAGAUAUCACGAAGAACUCCGAUUGCGAAGGCAGCUCACUAGACUGUUACUGACACUGAUGCUCGAAAGUGUGGGUAUCAAACAGGAUUAGAUACCCUGGUAGUCCACACAGUAAACGAUGAAUACUCGCUGUUUGCGAUAUACAGUAAGCGGCCAAGCGAAAGCAUUAAGUAUUCCACCUGGGGAGUACGCCGGCAACGGUGAAACUCAAAGGAAUUGACGGGGGCCCGCACAAGCGGAGGAACAUGUGGUUUAAUUCGAUGAUACGCGAGGAACCUUACCCGGGCUUAAAUUGCAACAGAAUAUAUUGGAAACAGUAUAGCCGUAAGGCUGUUGUGAAGGUGCUGCAUGGUUGUCGUCAGCUCGUGCCGUGAGGUGUCGGCUUAAGUGCCAUAACGAGCGCAACCCUUAUCUUUAGUUACUAACAGGUUAUGCUGAGGACUCUAGAGAGACUGCCGUCGUAAGAUGUGAGGAAGGUGGGGAUGACGUCAAAUCAGCACGGCCCUUACGUCCGGGGCUACACA